UCCUGCCUCUCUCCUGCUGGCUGCUCGCAGGCGGCAGCAUCCUCCUAGUGGGCUGUGGAGCUGCAGGGUGGAGCUGGGACUCUAUAUCCCUGCAGCAGGCAGAGCCACCUGCCAUUGGCUGUUACAUGGGCGAGGAAUAAAGAAGGCGCGCACAGACAGUGUCACAAGAAUGCCUUCCGCCUGACCUCCUUCCUGCUCUCAGCUUGGCCACAGUGCAGGCUUCCUGUCAAGGCACAAACUCCCAAGGCCACAAGCAUCUGUGAGAGAAGCUGGGUGGUCAUCGAAGGCAGCAGGAACAGUGACGGGGAGAAAAACAGACUUGAGACGAGGAGAGAGAUGGCUGGGCUUCUCCCCGCAUUCCAGCCCCACAGAAGGCCCGGCUACACCCCAGCCACCGGGACCUCUUAGAUAUCACCACCUCCGGAUUUAAGAGUUCAAAACAUCAUCUGAACUCACAAACCUGAUUCUACACAGCUGCCAGCCUCUGCCCGCACCUUCGUUUGAAACAAGCCCUUCCAGAAACACACAGAAGAGCCACACCUACUCACUCUGCCAUCUCCUUUUUCAGAGGGAAAAGCUAGGCCACGUGUGGGAAAAUGCUGUUAGCUUAGUGGUGGUCAGGACGACCAGUUUAUGUUGAAAAUGUUCUGCUCUGGAUAAAAGUAAAUAAAACAAAACCUUGUUCCUUAGAA